CAUUUACCCUUACCUGAAUAUUGUAUAUUGUAUAUUGCAUAGCUUUCUUGUUAAUUUGUAUUGUAUUUAUUUAAAUUUUUACUUUUUAAUUAUUUUAUUUGCAUUUUUUAAUCACUCUCUUAUAUUUAAAUGUUCAUUUGCUAUUUCAUCUAGGGUUUGAGAGUAACGAAAUUUCUAUUCUCUGUAUGUCCUGUACAUGUGGCAGAAUUGACAAAUAAAGUUGACUUUGACUUUGACUCUGUCUCUGCUACAUUACUGACUGCAAGCUGUCACAUUUACAUUUAGUAAAUACUCCUUAUACCACUUAUACACUUUUAUUUUAUUACACUACAGAUUUUCUGAUGAAGAAAUACGGUAUAUAUAUAGGCAACCUGAUGAAGCAGUAUUUCACUUCAAAAAACUAAGAAGGAAGCACUGCAGUGAAGUUACAGCUGAGUUUACCUGCAUUCAACUGGUGAUGCAGAAAAUGUUUUAUGUUUGAAAUAUAAAGUCUGUUUCAUACUGCUGGAGUUGCAGCUGAUAAAACAUUACGACCCUGGAAAUUGUGGUAAAAAAUAUUAAUAUCUGAUUUCUGAUCUUUUUUGUGACCAAAUCCUACGGACUCUUUAUGGUUAUCAUGGGAUGGUCUUACAGGUGGAGGAUGCUGAUAUUUUUCCUUCUCAUCUUUUCUGACAGUUUGAAUGUUUCCAAGAAUGAAAUUCAAAUUGCGAAAUCUCCUGGAGGCACCAAAACUGAAAGUGGAAUACAGAAAACUACUGUGAGAGAAGAGUGUGUGUUUCCACUGGUAUUUUUUGGUGUGUUUGUCAUCUAUCUAUUUAUAAAUAAUAACAACUGUAUUAAUUAAUAAUUGAAUUGUAUGCUUUAAGCUCUUCCAGAUGAUAAAAAUAAACCUGUCAUGGUUCUGGGUCAUUUUGACUCAGCAUUUUGAGUUUCUUAUGUUUUGGUUUUAUUUUGCAUUAUGGGUUAUAUUCUGAUUCUAUUGUUGUACUUUGUUGGUUAUUAUUAUUAUUAUCCUGUGUUCUGGUUUCUGUUUUUGUAUUUUGAGCCCUUCUAUUCUGUGUGUAGUCUAUGUCUCUGUGCCUGCCCUGGUCCCAUGUCUGUGAUGUCAUAGUGUUUGCUUUAAGUUUUGCCUGUCAUGUUUCUUGUUUUACUUUGAAAGUCUGUGUCGAUGUGUCUAGUUUUGAUUCCCUUGUCUUGUUAAGUCUGAUUUCUCUCAGCUGUGUUUCCCUCCUGUCUUAUAUUCCCUGAUUACUCCAGUGUGUAUUUAAGCCCUGUUUUCCUUACCUUGUAUUGUGUUAUACCCUCUUCAUGCUGUAUUUUUUUUCCCUUGUACUCCUGUUAGGUUUGUAGUGUAGGUUUCUUAGUUCCUGUUACCAGUUUAAUUUCUAGUUUUGCUUUGAGGUUUUGGUUUGUUUUUGUAAAGUCUAUUUUCUCAGCAAUACAGCUGCGCUUUAAGUUUAACCUCCCGUCUACGAGUCCUGCAUUUGGGUCCAAUCCUUCCUGCCACACAGCGAAUCAUGACAAAACCAAGGAAAGUGGAAAUUUUUCAACUGGUUGAAUGUAUUGCCUUGCAUAUACUAAAAGCAGAAAACCUGUCCAAAUUUGAACUGUGUAAAGUGAAUCACUCAUAAAUAUAUAUUAUGUCUGCAGGAGACAGCAAAGAGGUUUGCCCCUGGAACUGGUCUCCAUACAGAGAUCGCUGUUUCAUUCAUGUUCAUUUAUGUACAGAUGAAAAGUUCUGGGAUGAUGGUGAGUGCAGGUCUACUCAGCCAUAGCGCAGACAGAUGGAAAUCACCAUAAAUGCAGACACCUAAAUGCUAUUGCAUUUAGGUGUGGACAAGUAAAACAGAUUUACUCACGCAACGUCAAAGGUGUGCGCUGUUUUUGACGUUGCGCUUUGUGCCAUGUUAUUGUUUACAUGAGAUGAAUUUCUACAAUUGGCAGAUACAGACAAAAUACUGUUUCUGUUAAUCUUACUAUCUGCAGUUUUUACACACUUACAUAUACACAUGCAGUUACUAUCCCUCCAUUUAGUUUUAGGGACAUUGGAGAAAAAAAACAUGAAGAUGAACUUUUGCGACUUAGGCCGUAUCAUCCUUCGGAGGCCGCAUUUGAAGGCCAAUUAUGUCACAGCCAGGCAACGAAGGCUGUCCCAAUUCGAAGGCUGCUCCAAAUGCAUCUUUCAUUUUCCCAAAUUUGACUGAUGCGUCGGGUAUAUCCUUCCUAGAAUUCAUAGCACGGUCAAGCCAAUUCCAGUUUCCAACAAUGUCGGCAGCUACUUAGUUUUAAUAUUACUCUUUCUGGGUCAC
ensembl:lncRNA